AAAACAUGUCAUAGAUGGUGGAUACACAUUGAUAUCUGUUGGUGGCAAAUUGAUAUACUUUUAUUCUGAAGCUUAACUUUGUCAAGAUUCAUAAAUAGAAGAGUUCUGUAGUGAAAGUUUAUCAUUUAAAUACUUUUUUAUAUUAAAAACAGGGAAGUGUUCGCCAGUUACUACAUGAAAAGAUAAGAGAUGCUUAUACUCACCCACAAUUUGUGACCGAUGUAAUGAAGCCUCUGCAAAUUGAAAACAUCAUUGAUCAAGAGGUGCAGACAUUAUCUGGUGGUGAACUACAGCGAGUAGCUUUAGCCCUUUGUUUGGGCAAACCUGCUGAUGUCUAUUUAAUUGAUGAACCAUCUGCAUAUUUGGAUUCUGAGCAAAGACUGAUGGCAGCUCGAGUUGUCAAACGUUUCAUACUCCAUGCAAAAAAGACAGCCUUUGUUGUGGAACAUGACUUCAUCAUGGCCACCUAUCUAGCGGAUCGCGUCAUCGUUUUUGAUGGUGUUCCAUCUAAGAACACAGUUGCAAACAGUCCUCAAACCCUUUUGGCUGGCAUGAAUAAAUUUUUGUCUCAGCUUGAAAUUACAUUCAGAAGAGAUCCAAACAACUAUAGGCCACGAAUAAACAAACUUAAUUCAAUUAAGGAUGUAGAACAAAAGAAGAGUGGAAACUACUUUUUCUUGGAUGAUUAGACUGACUCUGAGAAUAUCGAUAAGCCAUUUAUUAAAAGGAGUAUUUACUAGAAUUUUUUGUCAUAUAAAA
rnacentral:sRNA from 1 species